ACCAGACUCCUACGGGAGGCAGCAGUGGGGGAUAUUGCACAAUGGGGGGAACCCUGAUGCAGCGACGCCGCGUGGGUGAAGAAGCGCCUCGGCGCGUAAAGCCCUGUCAGCAGGGAAGAAAAUGACGGUACCUGAAGAAGAAGCCCCGGCUAACUACGUGCCAGCAGCCGCGGUAAUACGUAGGGGGCAAGCGUUAUCCGGAUUUACUGGGUGUAAAGGGGGCGCAGACGGUGAUGCAAGCCAGGAGUGAAAGCCCGGGGCCCAACCCCGGGACUGCUCUUGGAACUGCGUGGCUGGAGUGCAGGAGGGGCAGGCGGAAUUCCUGGUGUAGCGGUGAAAUGCGUAGAUAUCAGGAGGAACACCGGUGGCGAAGGCGGCCUGCUGGACUGCAACUGACGUUGAGGCCCGAAAGCGUGGGGAGCAAACAGGAUUAGAUACCCCGGUAGAA
rnacentral:rRNA from 1 species